AGCGAACGCUGGCGGCAGGCUUAACACAUGCAAGUCGAGCGGGCAUCCCUGUUGUGUCAGCGGCAGACGGGUGAGUAACGCGUGGGAACGUGCCCUGCGGUUCGGAAUAACCCAGGGAAACUUGUGCUAAUACCGGAUACGUUCGAGAGCAGAAAGGUUUAUCUGCCGAAGGGUCGGCCCGCGUCUGGUUAGCUAGUUGGUUGGGUUACGGCUCACCAAGGCGACGAUCAGUAGCUGGUCUGAGAGGAUGAUCAGCCACACUGGGACUGAGACACGGCCCAGACUCCUACGGGAGGCAGCAGUGGGGAAUAUUGGACAAUGGGGGCAACCCUGAUCCAGCCAUGCCGCGUGAGUGAUGACGGCCUUAGGGUUGUAAAGCUCUUUUCUCCGGGACGAUAAUGACGGUACCGGAGGAAUAAGCCCCGGCUAACUUCGUG
rnacentral:rRNA from 1 species